rnacentral:rRNA from 1 species
GUCUAGUGGCGCACGGGUGCGUAACGCGUGGGAAUCUGCCCUUGGGUUCGGAAUAACUCGCCGAAAGGCGUGCUAAUACCGGAUGAUGUCGAAAGACCAAAGAUUUAUCGCCCAGGGAUGAGCCCGCGUAAGAUUAGCUAGUUGGUGAGGUAAAGGCUCACCAAGGCGACGAUCUUUAGCUGGUCUGAGAGGAUGAUCAGCCACACUGGGACUGAGACACGGCCCAGACUCCUACGGGAGGCAGCAGUGGGGAAUAUUGGACAAUGGGCGAAAGCCUGAUCCAGCAAUGCCGCGUGAGUGAUGAAGGCCUUAGGGUUGUAAAGCUCUUUUACCCGGGAUGAUAAUGACAGUACCGGGAGAAUAAGCUCCGGCUAACUCCGUGCCAGCAGCCGCGGUAAUACGGAGGGAGCUAGCGUUGUUCGGAAUUACUGGGCGUAAAGCGCACGUAGGCGGCUUUGUAAGUCAGAGGUGAAAGCCUGGAGCUCAACUCCAGAACUGCCUUUGAGACUGCAUCGCUUGAAUCCAGGAGAGGUGAGUGGAAUUCCGAGUGUAGAGGUGAAAUUCGUAGAUAUUCGGAAGAACACCAGUGGCGAAGGCGGCUCACUGGACUGGUAUUGACGCUGAGGUGCGAAAGCGUGGGGAGCAAACAGG